UGGGGAAUCUUAGACAAUGGGGGAAACCCUGAUCUAGCCAUGCCGCGUGUGUGAUGAAGCCCUUAGGGGUGUAAAGCACUUUCAACGGUGAAGAUAAUGACGGUAGCCGUAGAAGAAACCCCGGCUAACUCCGUGCCAGCAGCCGCGGUAAUACGGAGGGGGUUAGCGUUGUUCGGAAUUACUGGGCGUAAAGCGCGCGUAGGCGGACUAUUAAGUCAGGGGUGAAAUCCCGGGGCUCAACCCCGGAACUGCCUUUGAUACUGGUAGUCUUGAGUUCGAGAGAGGUGAGUGGAAUUCCGAGUGUAGAGGUGAAAUUCGUAGAUAUUCGGAGGAACACCAGUGGCGAAGGCGGCUCACUGGCUCGAUACUGACGCUGAGGUGCGAAAGCGUGGGGAGCAAACAGGAUUAGAUACCCCCGUAGUCC
rnacentral:rRNA from 1 species